rnacentral:rRNA from 1 species
GAUUAACGCUGGCGGCGUGCAUAACACAUGCAAGUCGAACGAUGAAACUUAACUGAUUUCUUCAGAAUGAUUUUAAGUGGAUUAGUGGCGGACGGGUGAGUAACGCGUGAGUAACCUGCCUUGGAGAAGGGGAUAGCCUUUGGAAACGAAGAAUAAUACCCUAUGAUAUGAUAAUAUCUCAUGAUAUUAUCAUCAAAGAUUUAUCGCUCUAAGAUGGACUUGCGUCUGAUUAGUUAGUUGGUGAGGUAACAGCUCACCAAGGCAGCGAUCAGUAGCCGGCUUGAGAGAGUGUACGGCCACAUUGGGACUGAGACACGGCCCAGACUCCUACGGGAGGCAGCAGUGGGGAAUUUUGCACAAUGGGGGAAACCCUGAUGCAGCGACGCCGCGUGAUUUAGAAGGCCUUCGGGUUGUAAAAAUCUUUUGUAUGGGAAGAAAAUGACAGUACCAUACGAAUAAGGACCGGCUAAUUACGUG